AAAAAUGUAAUUAAAAAAGAAACGAUUUUUCUUUAUUAGUUUGGCUGAAUACUAUGAAUUAUUGACAAAUGACUGAGCACAUUUGAAGUAAAUUCUCACAAACAGGUAAAAAAAUGAAUCCUCUUUUAGAAAAAUGUGCCCCAGAUGCUUCGACUUUUACCUUUCCAGGCCCCUAAACUAAGCAAGAGGAGUCCAAGCAAAGCUCUGUUCUAAGCUUCCACACAGGGCAUUUGACUCAAGUGAAAUGGUAUCUGGAGAUCAGUUCUUUCAUCUGUUUUUUGCAGGAUUAUGUCUAGAUACUAAAUCCCAUGUAUUCUUUUCCUUGAGAGAGGAUCUUGCUAUGUUAACCUGGCUAGGUUAACCUCAAGUUCACCAUUUUCCUGCUCCAGUUUCCAGAGUUCUGGAAGUAUAGGUGUACAUCACCACCUGGCUUAUAUCCCGUGCAUUUUAUGUGUGCUGUGUAUAGCAUGUGGAGCUCACAGCUUCAUUUCAGGUACUUACUUUCACUGUCUUCACUCCCCCAACCCUUUGAGACAGGGUCUCUUACUAAAUUUGGAGCUAGACUGGCUAGACUGGCUGGCUAUCCAGCCACUGGAACUCUCUUAUCUUAUCUCUGCCUCCCAGUGUAGGGGUUAGGGCAUACACUAUCUACCAUUUUAUGUGGGUGCUAGGGAUCUGAACUCAAGUCAUCUUGUUAGUGGCAGCAACCACUUUACUUACUAAGCCAUAUCCUCGGUCCCCUCCAAUGUAUUUCUUUCUUUUAUAAAAAACAUUUAUUAAUGUAUAUGAGUGCACUGUAGCUGUCUUUAGUCACAUCAGACACAGUCAUGUGCAUAUACACCCACAUAAACAAAAACACUCAUAAAAUCUUAAAAAAAAAAACCCUUCCCAUUUUGAAGUAAUUUUGUAAUUCACUUUUUUUUCACUAGCUGAUUUAUUGAAUUAUCAAUAAAUGGCCAAUCAGCACUGAAACUCUUGGGGAUUAAUUGAAUGUUUCUGUGGUUUGGAACUUGCUAGAAGCUGAGACAGUACACACAGAUAUUUAUAAUCUCUCCUCCAGGAAGCCUGGCGAGCAUGACGUCCGUGCAGGUUUCAAUAAUGGAGGAUAAGUUCUCACUGCAUACAUAAAAUCCAGUUACACUGAAUUCUGAAGUGAACUAUUUAUAGGACAUAU
rnacentral:lncRNA from 1 species